GGAUGUGAGGGCAAUCUGGCUGCAGCAUCUGUCACCCCAUUAAUCACCAGGGUUGAUUCAGCUGAUCUGGCUGUCUAGGCGGGUGUCCCCUUCCUCCCUCACUGCUCCAUGUGCAUCCUUCCCAAAGCUGCGCACUCAGUCAAAGAGGAUGACCAUUCCCAAUAGAGGAGGACCAUUCUUCAUUCUUCAGUCAAGGGUAUAGGAGUAGCUGCACUCCCCUGCUAGAACCUCCAAACAAGUUCUCAAAAGGCAGAGGUAAGAAUAAUAGGAUGAUAAGAAUAUGGGGGGUGGGCAGCAGCAACCUGUCUCAGAGUAUUCUCCCAGGAGAGGAUCUCUUCCUG
rnacentral:snRNA from 1 species